GAUGAAGAACGCAGCGAAAUGCGAUAAGUAGUGUGAAUUGCAGAAUUCAGUGAAUCAUCGAAUCUUUGAACGCACAUUGCGCCUCCUGGCAUUCCGGGAGGCAUGCCUGUUCGAGCGUCAUCAAACCCCAUCGUGCAAAUGAAUUAUUUUUUUUGCGCGGAAGUGACGAUUGAGCGAGAAUAACAAAUCCUCUCGCACCUCGUCGUAAUGAUUGCGGGCGGAAUUUGGGAUCGGGUUCCUCGGCGUAGUGUAUCAAUGCAUAUUUAUGCAACUUGCCGCGGAGUUGAGCCUGACCCACGCGUUCUCGCCGUACAAACACCUCAUUACUUUACAAGUUUUUGACCUCGGAUCAGGUAGGGAUACCCGCUGAACUUAAGCAUAUCAAUAAGCGGAGGA
rnacentral:misc_RNA from 1 species